GAGUGAAUCCCAUCCCACCCCAGAAUAGAACACUGUAGCAACUCUGCUUAAUGUACUUGAUCUUCAGUGGUUUUGAUAAACCUGCUGAAAUUGCUGUUACAACAUUAAAACUUCAACAGAAGAAAAUUUCAUGUUUUUUAAGAGAUUUCAACCAUUCCCAAGGUAACACUAAUCAAAAUUUUAAACCUUUUUUGAUCCAUCUGUAGUUGCGCAACUCAUAUUCUUUAAAGUUACUCUAUCAAGGAGAUUCUUAUCUGCCCAAUGCCCAUGUCCCCACAGAAGUUUAGUGUUUUGGAAACUUGAAUCACUGCAUUUUGAGAUAAAGUAGUCCUGAUCGAUAAUUGUAAAUUGUAAUCUUUGUUUAUGACUGGUAGAGUCAAAGCAUGAAGAAACCAGUCACUUAAUGAAAUUCCUUGUUGAGGUGACUUGAGGAAGGACGUUAAUGUAAUGGUGGCAAGUAUACCAUCAUUUAUGCUCUAUUUGGCUAAUCAAAACCAGAGACUGCUAAAAAAAUCUCAUUCCGAAGCCAAGUGACACUUCUUGUCAAGCCCAGGUUGCUGUUCCUGUCACCCGUGUAAAUGCAUGCAUUAUUGUAGACUCAUCUUUUGAUAGAAUGUGCAGAUUACACCAUAAAUUUGUGCAAGCAAAUGCUAAUUUAUUCUACUUGGUCUUUGGAUAUUUAUUUCACAAGGAUGCUUUCUUCUCUGUCAAUUCUAUGCCAGUUGUUUUACUUUCCCUUUUCUUAUUUUUACCUUUUGAUCUUUCAAGAUUAAUUUUGUUUUGUGUACAAAGUUACUUGCUGGAUAUGAAGCAUGAGUACUUUAAAAAUAUUUCUGUAUGAAUACCGGCCGGUACUGUUACACGUACUCCAACUGUGCCUUUGCCCUUUUUUUUUUAAAGAAUUUGCCAUAUCGGUGUACCCACACCUGUAACUGCAACCGUGCUUCCUAGCCUGCUGGUCAUUUGAUCUUUAAACUGUUAUGGGUUUAGAAUCGUGGUAGACAUUUCAUCCAAUAGGAUGCUCAAAUCUAUAGGCAGAAUACAAUAUUUGGUCAAACGUUUUUUACUUCUCAUUCUUUAUUAAUUUUUUAUUGUUGAAUUUUGUUCUGUUCAUUUAGGAUGGAAGAUGUUUAUUGUGAUAUUGUUGGCUGUGCAGAUCAAAGCCAAAAAAACAUAUGAUACUGUGGAAGUUUCUUCUGUUCAGAAGGUACAAAUGCACAAAGCAGAAAACUCUAUGAUUGUAGUAGAUGGCACAUCACAACAACAGAUUGAGGAUUUUGAUGACUUAAUUGACGAAGAUACUUUGUUUACAGCUGAAGAUUCAAAAAUGUUUUGAGUUACCGCAAGAUGAAAGUUAUCUUGUUCGGGAAUGAAUACGUGAAAGAAAUCGUCUCUAUCAGCGUAGACGCCGAGCACGAAUGACAGAAGACCAAAAGAACCGUGAAAAGGAGAAGAGAAGGCAGUAUAUGAAGAGUCGCAGAGUUCAGCCUAUAAGUUAUGAAAUGCCCCUUUCUACACCAGUUAGUUACCAAAGUGCAAAAGAAAGUGAACAAAGGCUACAUUCUGGCUAGCAACUUCAAGAAUCUCACAUCAUCGAAAUAUAAAACAAAAACAAAAAAACACGGCGUGGGAGGCAGGUGAAGCUUCGUAGUUGAGUGAAUAUAAGGAAGUACGAGUGCUGGUAACAGCUAAGUCACUUCUAUCCAAUUAUCAACUUUGCUUCUGGCUUCUUAACACGUGGACAAAUACAAAGUGAAUAUAGUUCUGGCAACAGAAAAUAGUUAACCUCAUAUCACUUGUACAAUUUAGCAUAGAUAAGGGAGUUAUUCAAGAUUGAUCUGGGGUCUCUAACGGCCCCUAUGUAUACAGAACGAUAUAUAUAUAUUAUUGAGAACUGAUAGAUGUGUAAACACCUGUGCCCGUCAAUGUUUUUAGCAGUGUGAUUGUACUAUUUAUUGCUCUGUCAUCUUGAUUUUAAGUUGCUAACAA